UACGAAGGGGGCUAGCGUUGUUCGGAAUUACUGGGCGUAAAGCGCGCGUAGGCGGACUGUUAAGUCAGGGGUGAAAUCCUGGAGCUCAACUCCAGAACUGCCUUUGAUACUGAUGGUCUCGAGUCCGGAAGAGGUGAGUGGAAUUCCGAGUGUAGAGGUGAAAUUCGUAGAUAUUCGGAGGAACACCAGUGGCGAAGGCGGCUCACUGGUCCGGUACUGACGCUGAGGUGCGAAAGCGUGGGGAGCAAACAGG
rnacentral:rRNA from 1 species